ACCUGGCUGGCUCAGUUGGUAGAGCAGGUGACUCUUGAUCUCGGGGCUGUGUGUUUGAGCCCCAUGCCAGGGG
rnacentral:tRNA from 1 species